AAAAACAAACGCGUGAAGACCCCCCAAAUGCCCCCAAUCCCUUCUCCCUUCUCGCUCACUCUCAUCAGUCUCACUCACCAAAAUGGCACAAAAUUCCUAAUUUCAAAGGUGGCAGCUUUGGAGAGCAGCGGAAGAAUGAGCGGAGCCCUUGUCACAGCACGGCAGCGGCGGAGGAAGGAGGCGGUGGAGCUGUGUCUGAGGAUGAUGUGCAUGGCUUCUUCUCAUUGUUGCAGUGUCUCUCACUCUCCGUCUCAGCCGCCGCCACUCUUCUCCUCCUCACCGUCUCUGUGCUCGUCGUGAAGCUUGCCUCUGUCCUCGCAGUCGUCGGCCGCCUCUUUCUCAUCGUCAAAAACGCCUCUGUCUCCGAGCCAUCUCUCUCUCUGUGUGCGAAGUGGGAACUUACCCGUGCCGCCGUGGACUCUUCGCCGUCCUCGUGAGUUCUUCAAUCUUCGCCGUCCUUCAACAUCUUCGUGGUCUUCUUUAUUUUCACUUAUUUCCUCCCUUUUUCACUUUAGUUUUUUAUUUGUUUCCUCUGUUGUGUAGUCAUUGAUUAUUUGUUAACUUUAUUUAUUCUGAUUUCUGAGUUGCUUCACUUGCUUUGCUAUGAUGCAUUGCUUCACUACAUUGUUUAUGGAAAUUCGUAAUCUUCUCCAUGUUUCUGUUAAUGGAAUACAGUGGUAACAGAGUAUAGAGAAUAAAUAUUGAAAACUAGGGGAUCACAUAUUGUGGAAUUCUAUAUUCUGUAAUGUAUUCUUCUAAUAAUCCUCCUAAUUUUGAUAUAAUUUUAGAUUCUGGAUUUUGAAUGCUGAAUUAAAUUUUGGUAUAAUUUUAUAAUGCUGAACAGAAUUGAUAUAAUUUUGGAUUUUGAAUGUUUAUAAUUCUGAAUUUUGCUGUCAUUGCUAUAAUGGCUGAGGUUUUAUUUUACUGAAACUUCUGUAAUAGCUCAAACAUGAAGUUGGGUUUUCAGGGGCAGGGCAUGGUUUGUUUUGCACAUCUUGAAAAAAUGUUACUGCUGAUACUGGUU